rnacentral:rRNA from 1 species
UACAGAGGGUGCAAGCGUUAAUCGGAAUUACUGGGCGUAAAGCGCGCGUAGGCGGCUAAUUAAGUCGGGUGUGAAAUCCCCAGGCUUAACCUGGGAACUGCAUUCGAGACUGCAUUGCUAGAGUAUGGGAGAGGGAAGUGGAAUUUCCGGUGUAGCGGUGAAAUGCGUAGAUAUCGGAAGGAACAUCAGUGGCGAAAGCGACUUCCUGGACCAAUACUGACGCUCAUGUGCGAAAGCGUGGGGAGCAAACAGG